AUUGCUUCAAUGGAGAAAAUGAGGUUGGGGUUUGAGAGUGUCAGAAUUGCCAUAAAAAAGUUAUUUUUCCUUCAGGAAUGACAAUAAUAAAGAUGCUUUUACAGCGUAAGUGUAUGGCUAUGAAAGAUGAACAUCACAGAGCAAAUCCAGCUUUAGACUUCCUCAUGAAUUUGCUCAAGAGGAACAGCCUUUUUAUCACUAGCUCAGACCUCCAAUCACCUUGACCAUCCUCUGCUAGAGUCACAAAGCAUCGAGUCCCUCUAAGGAGGCAUCCUAAAGACAUCAGGACAUGCCUUCGUCAGUGCCUACCAUCUCCUCCUCUAGUUCCCCUGUAGCAGAUUCCUCUCCUUCAUUGUAUUAUAACUAACUGUGAUCUGCUCAGUAUAAUUGUGCUCUUUAAUUAAAGGAUCACAUUAUAUUUAAUUUGCAUUGAAAAAUCCCACCAUAGGAGAAAUUCCUGGAGGUGUGAGAACAUUAAUGGCAGUAUGUAGAGGUAGUGUUGUGUCACAGUUAAGGGUGGGGCCUCUGGAGCCAGCCUUCCUGAGGUAAAAUCCUAACUUUGCCACUUACUAGCUAUGUGAACUUGGGCAAGUGACCUAAUCCUCUGUGCUUCAUCUUUCAGUUGGGGAGAAUAGAAGCAUCUACUUCAUGUAGUGGCCUGGAUUAGAAGAGGUGAAGAGUUCACAGCCUUCAAGGAAACAAGAAAUCAUGAGAUGGAGUGAAGGAAGGUGGCCUGGAACCAGCUGCUGAGCCUCUCUGAGCCCCAGUUUCCUCAUCUCUAAAAUGGGCCUGAUCUCCUCUCCCUCAGACGGUUGUUGCAGAAAUUAAAUGAGAGAGAGGAAGCCCCGGCUCAGCAGAAUGGAGUCACUUGCCCAGGGACAUCCAACUGAGCUGAUACUCUUUGUCUUCCCUAUGCUGCUUCUCUCUGGGUUUGGUAAAAGUUUUUAUCUUUACAAAAAACAGGAUCUCACUCUGUCACUGGCUGGAGUUAAGUGGUCUGGUCAUGGCUCACUGCAGCACCAAACUCCUGGGCUCAAGCAAUCUUCCUGUCUCAGCUUUCCAAGUAGCUAG
rnacentral:lncRNA from 1 species